rnacentral:lncRNA from 10 species
GUCUCGAACUCCUGGCCUCAAGUGUUCUGCCCAUCUAGGCCUCCCAAAGUGCUGGGAUUACAGGCAUGAGCCACUGCGCCUGGCCCAUCAUUGUCUUUCUUGUUGAAGAAAAGGUGUAUUGCCAUUUGCUUCCCAUGACACUCAUUUGCACACUGCCAUGGCUCCCAUCAAUGCUGUGACUUUUCUCCUGGACAUCAGCAUGCCUUUCAUUAUUUGGCUCACUGUCAAGACUCUGAACAUACACAGUAGAGCUUACCCAAAAGAACUUCAGUCUUCCCUUCUUUGCUCACCAUGAUCUGGCUGUGUUUUAAGAUUUCAGUUCAUUGUAACUGUAGGCGGUAAUGUAACAUUUGAAGGAAAUAAUGGUCAUCUACUUAUGAAACUGCAAACAGCUACUAUGAUAGGUUCAAAAUACAGGCAUUGCUGUUAGGCGAUUAUUUUAAGCUUAUUGUUAGUGCAGUGAAGACUCUACACUUUAUCUCCCUGCCUAGAGGUGAAUGUGCUAACAUUUUGUACUUUCUUUGUUGCUCAUCAAAUCACAGAGUAUCUUUUGUUUAAAGCACAGAAUUCCAUAGCAACUUUCAUCUCUGCAUUACUAAUCACCUUGAAGACCUGCAAGCUUUACUGUUAUACAUGGGACCAGUUCACAGUAAUUCCUUUUUCCAAAGUUUUACAAAGCAUGUUUUAAUAUUCCUAUCUCAUUUGAUCUUCAAAAGAACUCUAUUUCUAUCCCCACUUCAUGUGUGAAAAGUGACAAGACUUGCCUAUUGCUACAAUCUAGGAAGUGUUAGCACAAGUACAGCACAGUUCUCUAUCCUGAUAAAAUGCUUUUUUUCAGCAUGUAAAUCUGUCUAUCUGAGCUGCUCAGUACUUCAUGUUUAGCUGAUGUAAAAUUCAUGGCAUUUAACUGACCCUACACAUUAGUUCAUGCUUUUAUGCACAUCAUCUUCAGUGCCCUGUACGGGAGACGCUACUUGCCAGCAUACAGUGGUUUCUGGCUUAUUUUCACAGGCUUCUGAAGACAAUUAUAGCCUAAUGACUCAAGAGUUUCCCAGAGCUGGAAUUCUUUUCCAAAAUGAGUUAACCAGAUCCCUUUUAUGCAUGGCUGCAUGAAAUGAAAUGAAAACAGAAGAUGACCAUUUUUCAUUUUCCUGUUCAGAUUCUGAUCUGCUGCAGAGAUCAGAAGCACUCUUGCAUGGGGGUCAAGAGGCACAUUGCCUGUCAAUGUCUUCAUGGUUGAUGAUACAGUCUUCAAACCAAAAAGAAAUAUGUUCAAGUGUUGCCAGGAAAAUAAAUACAGGACUUUAAUGCCACAAGAGUCAUAUUUUUGACCUGUUUCUCUUAAUAAUCUUAAUCAAAUACAUAUGACUACAUGUGUAUAUUUUCCUAAAAUGUAUAAUCUCUGAGUAAUAUCUUUAAGGAUUGUGAUAGAUUAUACUCAUAUCUUAGAAAGAUAGCUCUAAUAGUUUGAGGAAUGAAUUGGGGAAUAUAGAAACAGGAUGUUGUUGCAAUAAUCUAAACAAAAUAAUAGGGCCUCAAAUAGCACAGAAGCAAUGAGAACACUGAGCAGCUAAAAAACAAAAAUGGUAGUUUUCCAGGUAGAUCUUGAUUAGGGGUUAAAUAAGGGUUGAUAUUUCAAGACUUUUAGUUGAUACACUUAAGAGAAAAUUAUGUAAUUAGCAUGGACAACAAAUACAUGAAGAAAACUAGUUUAGAUCCAAGAUUACCUUGGGAUACUUUGAAACAUCUGUAUUGGAUGAUAGUGGUCAAGAACUGGUCAAGGGUGAUGAUGUGGGGUCAACCACGUUUAUACCAGAAAGAAAGUCAGGGGCAUGUGGAGGAUAAGAGAAGGCUAAGGGCCAAAAAUAAAAUCCUAAAGAAUUACAACACUUAAAGACUGAAGGGAGAGCCAAAGAAAGAAUCUGCAGAAAGAUUCUGAUAGCUAGGAGGAGAGGAAGAGUGCUAGUAAAAGAAGCUAAAGAGAGAUUUUUUUAAAAAUGUUAAAUGCUACCAACUGCAAUUAAGAAAAAUUACUAAAAAGCAUGAUUUAGAUUUAAAAGGGUUUUCCCAGGCAACUAACAGAAAGUAGUUUAUUUAGAGUGACCAAAACAGAAGGCAGAUUGCAAGGAACUGGGGAAUGGAAGGAAGACUAAGAAGUGACGACAGCGGCCGGGCGCAGUGACUCACGCCUGUAAUCCCAGCACUUUGGGAG